UAACCUCUGGCGAUAACCGUGAAUGUUA
rfam:Zhouia amylolytica AD3 51.P278.1_14, whole genome shotgun sequence.